UAUUUGGUGUGCUUCCUC
rnacentral:piRNA from 1 species